CCCUCAGGGCCAGCCUGACUACAGGUAGACUAGACUACACUCACCCCUCAGGGCCAGCCUGACUACAGGUAGACUAGACUACACUCAUCCCUCAGGGCCAGCCUGACUACAGGUAGACUAGACUACACUCACCCCUCAGGGCCAGCCUGCCCAUCAGUUGUCAUGAUAAUCACUCAUUUCAACUUGAUCUAUUCAUCUCUUUCUGAUGAGCUGAUCAUAGAGAAGGAGACCAUCAUUCUGCAUUUCCUGCUGAGUAAACAUCAUUGCAAGUGGGCUCAAGGUAGUACCAGUACCGGAGGAGAAGUGUACCACUGAGGAUAUUAAAGAAGCCUUCAUGCUGCAGGCGCAGGAACAGAACAUGGAGCUGAUGGAGAUACCGCAACACACUGACCUCAAACAGAUUGCUCCUCCAGGGACACCGUACUUCUACGUAGAGCUGGACUCUGGAGAGAAACUCUUCUACCGCAUUCAGAAAAACUUCCCUCUGCAGUUUGGCAGGUAUAUACACACACACACACACACACCAUAUAUG